GUUGGAGAGAUGAGCUGCAGGAAGCUGUAGAUGGCCAUUUCUAGGCACUCUCUUUACUAUACAGGCACCAAAAAGCCUGGCAGCGUAUACACUGUCAUCGGAGUACCAGGGAAUGCUAUAUCCCCCUCCCUGGACACAGGUAAGAGGCAGAAAGGGUGAAAUAAAAUUAAUUAAAGGACCACUCUAGGCACCCAGACCACUUCAGCUUAAUGAAGUGGUCUGGGUGCCUGGUCCUUCUAGGGUUAACCCAUUUUGUUUAUGAAUGGGUUAAGCCUUCCCCUUAAUCCUCUAGUGGCUGUCUCAUUGACAGCCACUAGAGGCGCUUGCGUGCUUCUCACUGUGAUUUUCACAGUGAGAGCACGCCAGCGUCCAUAGGAAAACAUUGUAAAUGCUUUCCUAUGAGACCGGCUGAAUGCGCGCGCAGCUCUUGCCGCGCGUGCGCAUUCAGCCCAGGAGGAGGAUCGGAGGAGGAGAGGAGGCAGAGAGCUCCCCGCCCAGCGCUGGAAAAAGGUAAGUUUUUAACCCUUUCCCCUUUCCAGAGCCGGGCGGGAGGGGGUCCCUGAGGGUGGGGGCACCCUCAGGGCACUAUAGUGCCAGGAAAACGAGUAUGUUUUCCUGGCACUAUAGUAGUCCUUUAAUUAAAAGAAAACAAAAAAAACUUUUGCCCAAAGAAUGUUGCCCCCAUCCUAGCCCACAUUUAUACACACACACUAGAUCCACUACACAAACCACUGCACACACACACACACUGCUUCCUCUACACUCAUUGCAUAUGUAACACACACACUCAGCAUCCACUCUACACACUUGGGGGGCGUCACCCAGGUUCCAGACCUUGAGCUGUGUUAGUUGCACCAAAAUGUCUGAUGGCAGCCCUGGGCACAGACACAGACGGACACCAACACAUGCAGACACAUAGGCAACAUUAUGCCUUAAAGGUGCACACAGACAGGUACACAUAGACAGGUACACGCAGACACAGACAGGCAUAGACCUUUUAAGUGGUAAAAAUUUUCUUAAGCAGUUCCUAUUUCUUUUCCUUCCAACUAUAGCUUAUUAUUGUAAACUAUAACAUCAUGGUACAUUUAUGACCUUUAUAUAUUUAUAUAUAGCACGCAAUUAUGCAUAGGAAAAAUUUAUAAACAGACAUACGUUAUUACCAACAAUCUGUUGGGCUGUUGUACAAAAAUAUGUCAACGGGAAACUGGCUCGAAUUUCCAAUAAUAGAUUUAUUUUCCGUUCAGUCUGCAUUUUACAUUUCCUGCAUUUUUUUAUAUUUUUUAAUGCAAAAUAAACCAUUCUUAAAAAUGGUGAGAAUGUGUGUAUAUGUGCAUAUACUAUAUAAUAAUGGUAAGUAGCAUGGGAAGGGAUGGAUAGUAUUCUUGAGAUCCUGGUAAAAUGACAAAUAGUAUGGGAAGCAAUGGAAGGGGUAAAUAACAUGUCAUAAUGACAGAGUAAAUAUCGGUUUCAUUCAUAUUUGAACAGAACGGAUAUGCUCAAAGGUUCCAGUUUUAUAGAAGGGCUAUAGACAAUUUUAUAUGCACUACUCAAAGACUGGAGUUUUAAAGGAAAAAGUAAAAUUAAUUGUCAUGGUAAAGAGCAUACCCCACCAUGGAGAGCUUAAAUGUAAGCUAUCCUAACAGAGUAAAAGGGAUAGUCGCGUUUUAUCAGUAUUUAGAAUGGCUGGGCUUAACGUAACACCUAUAGUACACAGUAAUGUAAUGGCAGGCUGGGGUUUGAGGUACAGAGAUUGAAAUAGUCAAACAAGCCGAGUUGAUAUACCAGAGAAACACACGGAACAAAGAAAGCUCUAUAGAAACAUAGAAUGUGACGGCAGAUAAGAACCAUUCGGCCCAUCUAGUCUGCCCAAUUUUCUAAAUACUUUCAUUAGUUCCUGGCCUUAUCUUAUAGUUAGGAUAGCCUUAUGCCUAUCCCACGCAUGCUUAAGCUCCUUUACUGUGUUAACCUCUACCACUUCAGCUGGAAGGCUAUUCCAUGCAUCCACUACCCUACUUCCUGAUAUUAUUUUUAAACCUUUGUCCCUCUAAUUUAAGACUAUGUCCUCUUGUUGUGGUAGUUUUUCUUCUUUUAAAUAUAGUCUCCUCCUUUACUGUGUUGAUUCCCUUUAUAUAUUUAAAUGUUUCUAUCAUAUCCCCCCUGUCUCGUCUUUCCUCCAAGCUAUACAUGUUAAGAUCCUUUAACCUUUCCUGGUAAGUUUUAUCCUGCAAUCCAUGAACCAGUUUAGUAGCCCUUCUCUGAACUCUCUCUAAGCUAUCAAUAUCCUUCUGAAGAUACGGUCUCCAGUACUGUGUACAAUACUCCAAGUGAGGUCUCACCAGUGUUCUGUACAAUGGCAUGAGCACUUCUCUCUUUCUACUGCUAAUACCUCUCCCUAUACAACCAAGUCAUUCUGCUAGCAUUUCCUGCUGCUCUAUUACAUUGUCUGCCUACCUUUCCUCUAUUGGCAAUAGGGAAUGAAAUCUCAACAUGGCAAAGACACAGAGAUCUGUAGAAGCAUAUAUCGGUCUGGCACCUAUAGCUAGGCCCACAUAUUUCCUGUGUGCCUAAAUCAUGUGUGCAUCGGGACUGGAAUGAUGUAUCACUAGUUACUGUCCGACCGAUAACUAACUAACGCUGGGGCGUCUCAAGACGAAAGGACCAUGAAAUGUUACAGGGACACCUCAUCCUCAUAGGAGUGCACGAACCCUGGCUAAACCCACAAUCAGUGAAUAAUUCAAGGAAUAAAAUAAAAGAAUCCUCAAAGUGAUCGUUUAUUACACGGCCAAGUUGACAGUUAAUGUUUUGGUAGGUUUGAUAAGGGACAAGAUAGGCCAAAACGUUACCAGUCAACUUUGGCGCCAUAAUAAACGAUCACUUUAUGGAUGGUGCUGGACAUUUCACUCUUUACUGCAAAAGGAAGCGAAGGAGCUGCAUUAUCUGACAGAAUUGAUGGCAGGGUACUGAACUUUAGAGCUUGUUUCACCUUGCAUCAUGGUUGCAUCUAUCCCGAUGCAACCAUGAUGCAAGGUGGAACAAAGUGUCACAGGUCAUUUAUUGUUUGUUAUUUCUUCUUUUUAUUUUUUCUCAGUACAGCAUUAACAUAGAACAAUGGCGUAUUCCAUACAGUGAGGCACGCAGGCCUCCAGUAGUGUUAGGAACUGUUGGUAUAUAUUCGUAGUAUGCAUUAGAAUCGCAGGUCCUCUUGUGUUACAUAUAAUAUUGUCGGUUUAUAUUUUGUAAACCAUUAUUGAUGACUAGGUGUGUUCGUCUGUGUGUAUGAAGUGUCUUUGCAAGUGAUGUGGUGCCCUCUUUGAGUUAUGCAAAUAUGAGUGGUUUCUUCGUGUGUGGUUGUGUCGUGGCGGCCCUCCUCUAUAGUGAGUGGGCAUCCUAUUAGUGGUGUGCGUAGGUUACCCACGAAGGUGGUUGCUGUCAGUAUGAUGGCGUUGUUUGUUUUGGACUCACAGGUCCGCUUCAAUAGAACAUUGCCUGUUUAUCCCGGAUUCCAAAAACAAUGAUUAUUGGAAGAAUGCCCUUCCAGGAGUGUUGUGUUCCCUUCUGUGUGGCAUAGUGUGUAUUAUUAUAUGGUAUAACGAUUAUUGUUAUCGCUGUGAGUGGCUUCCGCCUUACAUUCUACAUGUUGGGUUGUUGCACAGGUAAUUUUAAACCCAGAAGCAAUUACCAAAAAUAAACACGGACCUUCCCAUAUGUCACUCAUAAAUGAUUGUUAUAUGAAAGUAAACAUUCAAGUAAAGGAAGUUUGGAAAAAGGGAUUUUCCUAGUACAGAAGUAAACUCUUCUAGUACAGAAGUAGACUGGACUGACCGAAACUGAAAGCGGGAUGUUGAAAACUAGUUGAACCUUUUAUUUUUAUUUUUUUAAUGUAGCCACAGAGGAUCACUCACCAUCAAUGAGGACGUGCAAGGAGCAGCAGCAGCCAGCGUUGCUCUUUGCAAUAAAUGGGGUUAUUUGCUAAAGCCUGGGGUAAAUUAACAUUGUUUAUGCUAAAUAACAAUGUCCUGAUUCCGAAAUUCAGGCCUCAAAUGGACUUGAAUUUUUUCUGGAUUUCAGCUAUACCAAACACCACUGAAAUCUGGACCCAAUGCUUCAAUUAAAACUAAAAAUUAAAAAUAAUCCGAAAUAUUUGCCAGGUGACAGCACACGUAUGCUAUGUAAUAUAAGUAAGGUUGGUUGGCUUAGUAACCCCCCUAUUUACUAUUAUUAGGGUGAGAGGUGGUUAGGUAGGGCCCUCAAUUUUUUAUUUGUGGUAGCUAGCCUAUUGGGAACCUCUAGCAACCCAGGAGGAAGAUUGAAUGUGGGUGGACCUGCCAUUAUUUGAGGGGUGGAUGUCCAGCCCCUCCAUUGUUAAAUUACUUAGAGCCCUUGCCCGCUGUACCUGGGUGAGGGUUAGGGGGUCUUAGCUCCAGCCCCUUUAAUGGUGUUUACACCCUGUUCCAAAUUAUUAUGUAAAUUCUAUUUAAGUGUCACAAAGAUUAAAUAUUUUGUUUUUCAGUUUAACGCAUGGAUGGCAUUGUGUUUCAGGGCUCUUAUGAUCACUGAAAACAAUCUCGGACACCUGUGAUAAUUAGAUUGCCAGGUGAGCCCAUUUAAUGAAAAACUACUAAAGGAGGGUGUUCCACAUUAUUAAGCAGGGCACCAUUUUCAUGCAAUUUGGGGAAGAAAAAGGAUCUCUCUGAUGCUGAAAAGAGUGAAAUAGUUCAAUGCCUUGGAUGAGGUAUGAAAACAUUAGAUAUUUCAGGAAAACGUAAGCGUGAUCAUCGCACUAUAAAGAAAUUUGUGGCUGAUUCAGAGCACAGACUGGUUCGUGCAGAUAAAGGCACAUUGAGGACGAUUUCUGCCAGAUCCAUGCAUCAGAUCAAGAGAGCAGCUGCUAAAAUACCAUUACAUAGCAGCAAACAGAUAUUUGAAGCUGCUGGUGCCUCUGGAGUCCCACGGACUUCAAGGUGUAGAGUCCUCCAGAGUCUUGCAACUGUGCAUAAACCUUCUAGUCGGCCACCACUAAGCAAUGCUCACAAGCAGAAACGGCUGCAUUGGGCAGAAAAAUACAUGAAAACUAAUUUUCAAACAGUCCUGUUCACUGAUGAGUGCCGUGCAACCCUGGAUGGUCCAGAUGGAUGGAGUAGUGGAUGGUUGGUGGACGGCCACCCUGUUCCAACAAGGCUGCGACGUCAGUAAGGCAGUGGUGGAGUCAUGUUUUGGGCUGGAAUCAUGGGAAGAAGCUGGUCGGCCCCUUUAGGGUCCCCAGAGGUGUAAAGAUGACCUAUGUAAAGUAUGUGGAGUUUCUGACUGACCACUUUCUUCCCUGGUACAGAAUGAAGAACUAUGCUUUCCGUAAUAAAAUCAUCUUCAUGCAUGACAAUGCACCAUCUCAUGCUGCAAAGAAUACCUCUGCAUCAAUGGCUGCUAUGGGGAUAAAAGGCGAGAAAGUCACAACAAAGUUACAACAGCCAAUGACAAUUUUCAGUUCUUUACAACCUAUAAACUGUUUUGAAACUUACUGUGCGUAAUAAUUUGGAACAGUGCAUUGUAAGUUUUUUAUGUGUAAAAAAAUACUGUUAUCAUUAGGAGGUUUGUUCAAUAAAAUUUGGAUUGUACUCUUAAUAGUUAAUAACAUGAGAAUUAUGCUGACUGUUAUUUACAUCAAUUAUUUAGGUAAAUGAGAAAAAUAUCAUUUGCAUAAUAAUUUGGAACAGGGUUUAGAGGUUAGAGGUUACUAGCCAGAGGUGGUGGGUGGAGUUUAGAGGUUAGCAGUGCUCUCUCCAUCACCACCAUUAUUUUUUCCAAUGCUCCCCUGGUUACCUCCAUUAUUUCACAGGACUCUUUCCCAAAUUAAGUGUUUAGUAGACAUGCCUCCAAUGCUACAUGGCAGGUUGGGGCAUAGGGAGGUGUUAAACUUUCCUUAUAGUAAUAUGGGCUUUUCUUGACAACCAUAUGCGUUUUUCUUUAUUUUUCUUUAUGUAAUGCAUAACACUGCUCCUACAUACCUAUCCUCACUAUUCUGCUGAAGACAUCCAUCAAUUCUCUGUUCAUUCUAGCACCUCUGAUACCAACCUUCAAGGCUUCUCUAGGGCUGGGAUGUUUCAUUCAUGUUCCAUUAGAUUUCGAUCCAGUCUCCAUUCCAUCAAAAAAUCAUUGAAAACUCACUUAUUUAGGAAAACAUAUAAAAUAACUGCUUUCCCUCCUCGCGCCUUGAUAACCCAUUUUGCUUCCUCUCCUGCAACUGCGCCUCCCAGAAAAAACUAACCCUUCAUUGUAAACUAUUCUAGCAACCUACUUUUCCUGCACAUUAAAUACAUCCUUCCCUGACCACUUGUGUCAAUUUACCUCUCCCCCUAGAAUGUAAGCUCAUUUGAGCAGGGCCCUCAGCACCCUCUGUUCAUAUGUGUCUAACUUGUGUUGUUGCAAAUACUUGUCACUUAUUAUACAAUGCUGCGGAAUUUGUUGGCACUUUUUCAAUAAUAAUAAAGCAGUGGCCAGCCACAACAUAAUUAAUCCUCGCAUUGCUGAAUCUUAUUUAUGUAUUUGCCCGAUGGCUGCUAAAAUAUCAGUCACUUGGAUAAAAGCAAAAAGGUGUUGUAUGAGCACAUCAUUAGACACUCGUACUGCACUUUCUGAAUGGGUCUGCUCUUAACUGGUCUGGCUUGCUUGACUGGCAAGCAGUCUCUUGUGCACUCACACCAGCCUGACCUGUCAAUAAUUCAGGAGGGCCUGCCCCUUUUCCAGUCAGGUCCACCCUCUUUGGGCGGAGCUAGAAAUGCAGUCGUGUCACUGGCCCGCUCGCGUUACCUUUCCUCCCAGUAGCGCUUCUCGGGACACUAACGUUAGGUGGUUUGUGAUAGGAUGGGCAUAAAAAGUUUUUCAGGGCUACUUUUUAUUUCCACUCUGGCCCUGGAAGGAGGUUGGUGAUUAUGUGUCUACCGGUUUGGCUAAUGAAGAGUUAUUUUUUUCCAUUCAGCCAAUCCUGCUAGUAACUGAGCUGCAAGUACAAUGGUUCCUGAUGAGCUGAUAAGAAAGACAUUUUCGUAAUGGGGCAGGAUUCUUAUAAAAUAUGCAUGUUUAGGUGAGUGCAGCCCUCUUGUUGGUUUUAGUAAGAAAGAAAUAUAUAUAUAUAUGUAUAUAUAUAUAUACGUGGUCUGUCUGGAAAGUAUCCAGCCGUGUAAUGUGAAAAGUAGCAACAUGUAAUGAUACUGGAAACGUACUCAGGACAGUUACGUCUCAGAACCUCACACAGUUCCCCCCGCGUCUCUUCUUCUGUUCAAAACACUCCGCAAAAUCCUUUGUUGGAAUCGUCAUUAACUUCUGGCCAUCAAAGUUAUUGCACUGUCAGUCGCUGAUCUUUGUUGAUUGCAUCCCGUACACGUUUAACACUCUCAGGUGUUCUGCUUGUUGCAGGCCUUCCAGAACGUGGAUCACUUUCAACAGAUUCUCGACCAUCUUUGAAGUGUUUAUGCCACACUUUAUUUGUGCUGCACUCGUUGUAUCGUCCCAGAAAGCCUUCUGUAUCAUCUGAAUAGUUUCCACGUAGGAAUGCUCAAGCUCAGUCAUUUUGAAUGCGAUGACCACACAGCACACAUGCUCACUCAACGGCGUCUUGCGCCUCCCUCCCGACUAGUAAAAUAAAGUCAUCAUUGUUCACGCAUGCGCAUUCCAGUCCACUCUCCUUGGCUGCCAGGUUACAUCAAUGUCGCCCAAACCAUUCUCUUCAUAUUAACAAUGGUUGGACUUUUUACGAACAGACCUUGUGUGUAUAUAUAUAUAUAUACACACACACUUAGCAUAAUGUCAUAAUGUUCCAGGCCCAUGAAUCCCUAAUCCAAAUUUCAGCCCACUGUUUAGUGGGUGCAAGCAGUCCCCUCCGUAACCAGGAAAAGGCUCUUUUCUUAUAAAGUCCUGCACAGUAAUUCCUCUCUGAAGGCCUCCAUAAGAGUCUGUACAACUUAAUCAUGACUGUAGUUAUAAUAAGACAAGAGCAAAAUAGCCGUUACAAGGUGUUUGAGAAUAAACCAGGAAAUUGCUAACAUUCUGGAUUCAAGUUAGAAUUAAUCGUGAGCACUCUGUCAUUUAAAUCAAUUUAUUGACAUGAACAGCGAUCUAGUAGACUUAAAUAUUGUAUUGCAACACGUACUUCAAGAGAAGCAAAGUAAAAACAAUUAACUCUAAAACUCAGUUGUUUUAUUUUUAUUUUUAAUUAUCUAUAGGUUUAUUAAUUGUAAAUGGGAAUUUUUUUUCUGAAAAUAGAAAUUUACAUAUUUUUCAUUUCCUCCCCUCCCCCUCUUCCCCUCCAUCACAUCCUUAUUCUUGUCAAAGUAUUUGUUAAAGCAAGAACUACUUUCUUUAAAAUCCUGAAGCAGAACAAGGAAGAACAAACCUCAGCUAUGAAGAAAUGACGAGUCCAUGAUGCAAUUUGUACAGACUGAAUGUAAUCGGUGGGAGAAAUGCCAGAAUUGGACAAGAUAUUGCAUAAGCCAACUAUCUCAGGGUUAAACAUUUAUAUGAAAUAUGAAAUUAGAUGAGAUCUUGGUACAAAAUAUGGAACAUGGUACGAAAUGGUAAAAUAUUAAAUAAUACAGCAAAUGGCAUUAUUGGAUGAAAUAUUAAAUAAUACCGCAUUUGUGAUUGUGUUUGGAAAUAGUGUAGUUAUGGGGUUUAAUAUGAAUUAAUAUAUCAAAAAACCUCUCCAGGGGGUGGGGCCGGACCGCCAUGCUGAUAGUGCUGAUACACUACACCCCCUUCACUUACACACAAACACACUACAUGCACUCUAUACGCCCUAUAUAUACACUACACACCCUUCACUUACACACAAACACACUACAUGCACUCUAUACGCCCUAUAUAUACACUACACACCCUUCACUUACAGACAAACACACUACAUGCACUCUAUACGCCCUAUAUAUACACUACACACCCUUCACUUACACACAAACACACUACAUGCACUCUAUACGCCCUAUAUAUACACUACACCCCCUUCACUUACACACAAACACACUACAUGCACUCUAUACGCCCUAUAUAUACACUACACCCCUUCACUUACACACAAACACACUACAUGCACUCUAUACGCCCUAUAUAUGCACUACACCCCCUUCACUUACACACAAACACACUACAUGCACUCUAUACGCCCUAUAUAUGCACUACACCCCCUUCACUUACACACAAACACACUACAUGCACUCUAUACGCCCUAUAUAUACACUACACCCCCUUCACUUACACACAAACACACUACAUGCACUCUAUACGCCCUAUAUAUACACUACACCCCCUUCACUUACACACAAACACACUACAUGCACUCUAUACGCCCUAUAUAUACACUACACCCCCUUCACUUACAGACAAACACACUACAUGCACUCUAUACGCCCUAUAUAUACACUACACCCCCUUCACUUACAGACAAACACACUACAUGCACUCUAUAUGCCCUAUAUAUGCACUACACACCCUUCACUUACAGACAAACAGAGUGGGCUUCCAAAAAAAUAAAAUAAUAAUAAUAAUUUUAAUUUAAUUGUAGAUCUAUAGUGUUUUUAUUCAGAUUAUUGUGCCUUAAAGUCUUUUUCGAGUCUUGAAAAUCAAUGAGCAAACCAACAGAAACUGCCAGUAUGAAAACUGUACGUCAGCCACUUGCGAUGAUCUUCCUUGAAUCUUUUAUGCAAACUUGUGUUCAUUAUUAUUGCCAUUUAUAUAGCACCAACAGAUUCCGUAGCGCUUCAUCAAUAAGAAUCUUUCAUGUUGGCAAACAACAAGAAGCUCCAGAAGUAUAUAUGCAGAGAAGCAAUUAAAAUCAAAUAGAAACACAAUAAAAAGCAAAAAAAAUUAUAAUAGGCCCUACGCGCUUCGUCCGAUGGGACUUCUUCAUCCCUGCAUGUAUACUUCUGGAGCUUCUUGCUGUUUGCCACAGUCUGGAUGCCACGCUGGUCGUGGAGACAUGCUCUUUUUCAUUUGAGAUCUUGUAAAUACAAUAUUGUUAAAUACAUUUGUAUUUUUAAUUCCAUCCUUACUACAUUCUCUCGAUUUUGCUAUUUUGAGUGAUCAAGAAGAUGCACUCUAUACGCCCUAUUUAUACACUACACCCCCUUCACUUACACACAAACACACUACAUGCACUCUAUACACCCUAUAUAUACACUACACCCCCUUCACUUACGCCCAAACACACUACAUGCACUCAAUACCACCUAUAAACACACACUAUCCCCAUGCACUCACACACAGUACACACCCUCUAUACUCCCUCAAACCACACACCCUAUGCUAUAACACACUCUGAACACUCACUGCUCUAUAUCCCCUAUAUAUCCCUUAUAAAUACACAUUCUAUACCCCUAUACUCACUCUACGUCCCCUAUGCACACACUAUACUCUUAUAGACACAUUUGUGUUAUGGUAUCUCACUAAUGAGGACAUCAGAGACAAGUCACUAGCAAAUUCAGUGCAUGCUUACGUUGCAUAAAAAAAACUACAUAGAACAUUAACUACUCCACCCAGAGCACUGGAUGCUCAAGAGGGUCAUCACACUAACAUAAACACACUGCCCCUCACACUGGGCUGCUCUGUCCCUAACUGCCCGGGCUGAAUUUUCGUCCCAGUCCGGCCCGGCUCACAGCCAUAUAUUUGAGGAACCUAUCUAAAAGAAUAAAAAUUUAAUGAAAAUCCAUUUAUGCAAUAAGUCAAGUAGGAAGCUCUGACAGCUGUACUCAUGGGAAACUCACUAUGUAACAUACAACAUAUUUUGUAUGUGAAUGUGUUAUAGAAACAGGCAUGCAUUGCUUACAAGACCCUUGCUAAUGAGACACUACAAAACCCGGAACAUCACAAUAAUAGAAUGAGUUGUAACAGUACCUUCCUAUCGAAUUAUCCCAACACUCUUUUUAUUACUCUUUUAAUGGUUCACUGAUCUGUCUAUUAUUUUUGUUAUUACUUCAACAUACACUAAUCCUACAUGUAAGGAAUUAUAAGAACAGUUGUAAAAUAAUAAUAUACAGCGAUUCGAAAUAUAUAUAACAGAGCAUAACAACCAGAGUAUAUGUUAACAAACCUUGAACACUAUGAAAAUUAUUUAGCAUUGUGAAUUGUGAAUUCAAGUUGUGAAUGUCAAUAAUAUAUGUAAUAAUAAAAAAUCAAAAUAAAAAAUUAAGAUGACUAAUUGUCUGAUUUUUCUUCAGUGCCCACUAAUGCUGCUUUUUUUUUUUUAGACAUGGGUGUUGGGACAGAUGCUGGAUGAAGACAAAGAGGAACAGAUGGUGGUGAUCAAUUUUCAGACUAUGCAUUGACGGG